CAUGUCCUUUUGAUUUUAAUUUAAGGUUUAAUCUGCUCGAUGAUUAAUUAAAUUGCCGCAGUAUUUUAACUGUGCUAAGGUAGCAUAAUCAUUAGUUUUUUAAUUGAAAGCUGGAAUGAAUGAUUGGACGAAAUGGUUUCUGUCUUAUUUAGAAAUGAUUUUAAAUUUUAUUUUUAAGUGAAAAAGCUUAAAUAUUUUUAGAAGACGAGAAGACCCUAUAGAGUUUUACAUUAAUUUGUUUUUUAGUAAGUUUUUUUAAUGUUUAUUUGGGGUGAAUUGAAGAUUUAAUUAAUUCUUUAAAUUUUAAGUUGAUGAUAGUUAAUUUUAAAUUUUAAUUUUUUUAAAUAUAAUAUAAAUUACCUUAGGGAUAACAGCGUAAUUUUUCUUAAAAGUUCUUAUUGUAAGAAAAGUUUGCGACCUCGAUGUUGGAUUAAAGUUAAUUAUUGGUGUAGUUGCUAAUUAAUUAGGUCUGUUCGACCUUUGAAACUUUACAUGAUCUGAGU
rnacentral:rRNA from 1 species